GACGAACGCUGGCGGCGUGCUUAACACAUGCAAGUCGAACGGGUCUGCCCUGUUUUUUGCGGGGUGGGUCAGUGGCGAACGGGGGAGUAACACGUGAGUAACCUGCCCCUCACUUCUGGAUAACCGCUUGAAAGGGUGGCUAAUACGGGGUGUUCUGGCUGUGCCGCAUGGUGUGGCUGGGAAAGAUUCACUUUUGUGGUGUUUUGGUGGGGGAUGGGCUCGCGGCCUAUCAGCUUGUUGGUGUGGUGAUGGCCUGCCGAGGCUUUGACGGGUAGCCGGCCUGAGAGGGUGGGCGGUAACACUGGGGCUGAGCUACGGCCCCGCCUCCUGCGGGAGGCAGCAGUGGGGGGUAUUGCACAAUGGGCGGAAGCCUGAUGCAGCGACGUCGCGUGAGGGAUGGAGGUCUUCGGGUUGUGAACCUCUUUCGCCGGUGAAGAAGGUCCUGCUCUUUGUGGUGGGGUUGACGGUAGCCGGGUUAUGAAGCGCCGGCUAACUACGUG
rnacentral:rRNA from 1 species